rnacentral:lncRNA from 1 species
GACAACUUCCAGAUCCCAAGGAUGCAACAGGCAGGGAAUCUUCUCGGCUCUUCUGUGGACACUCUACGCCCUUCCUCUCAAAUGAAGCCCUGGACCUGCCAUCACUUUCCAUGUGCUAGGAUCUCAGGCUUCAGCCACCAUACCUGGUUUGAUGUGAUCGGGGCUCAAUCGCAGGGCCUAGCACAUACUAGGAAGGCACUCUUCACAACUGAACUGCACACCAAUCCUUUAUCUUGUUUAUAAUAAUAAAAAUGUUUCAUAUUUUUGGCUUCCCCUUUAUGUGGAAAUAACUCCAAAAUUUGAAAUAAAAGCCAUCUGAUACUAAGA